rnacentral:misc_RNA from 1 species
GAUGAAGAACGCAGCGAAAUGCGAUAAGUAGUGUGAAUUGCAGAAUUCCGUGAAUCAUCGAAUCUUUGAACGCACAUUGCGCCUUCUGGUAUUCCGGAAGGCAUGCCUGUUCGAGAGUCAUUAACAACCGUUUCGAUCCCUUUCUUUCAGAAAUUACAAAGAGGAAAAGGGUUUGGUUAUGGUGGAGGAGGGAAAGGGAGCGUUUAGCCUGUAAAAAAAGAGGCUGUGUUCCGCCUCCCCCCCAAAAUUGUACAGGCGGUCGUGUGCGCCCACGCAUCGAGGUGUUGUAAAAGCUGCCACGGCACUUUUCACCUGUGCAGUGCGAGAUUGGCCAGCCGGUUUAAAAACCCCUCCAAACAAUCAAUGGUUGACCUCGGAUCAGGUAGGGAUACCCGCUGAACUUAAGCAUAUCAAUAAGCGGAGGA